GUGGGUGUAGCUCAGUUGGUUAGAGCGCAGGAUUGUGGCUCCUGAGGUCGAGGGUUCGACCCCCUCUACUCACCCCA
rnacentral:tRNA from 2 species